CUAGUAUUGAGUAUAGUCUUAGAACUCAUUUCUUCCUGUAUAAAUCCUCAGCUCUGUCCAGUCUGCCCCACCUUUCACUUCUUUGUUCAAAACACUACAUUGACUUCCUUACCAAUAAAGUCUCAACUCUUUAACCUGACUAAUAUUCUUUACAAUGUAGCACUAAUUAACCUUUCCUUUCUUUCUUUCUUUCUUUCUUUCUUUCUUUCUUUCUUUCUUUCUUUCUUUCUUUCUUUCUUUCUUUCUUUCUUCCUUCCUUCCUUUCCUUUCCUUUCCUUUCCUUUCCUUUCCUUUCCUUCCUUUCCUUUCCUUUCCUUUCCUUUCCUUUCCUUUCCUUUCCUUUCCUUCCUUUCCUUUCCUUUCCUUUCCUUUCCUUUCCUUUCUUUCUUUCUUUCUUUCUUUCUUUCUUUCUUUCUUUCUUUCUUUCUUUCUUUCUUUCUUUCUUUCUUUCUUUCUUUCUUUCUUUCUUUCUUUCUUUCUUUCUUUCUUUCUUUCUUUCUUUCUUUCUUUCUUUCUUUCUUUCUUUCUUUCUUUCUUCCUUCCUUCCUUCCUUCCUUUCCUCCCUUCCUUCCUUCCUUCCUUCCUUCCUUCCUUCCUUCCUUCCUUCCUUUCCUCCCUUCCUUCCUUCCUUCCUUCCUUCCUUCCUUCCUUCCUUCCUUCCUUCCUUCCUUCCUUCCUUCCUUCCUUCCUUCGUUUCUUUCUUUCUUUCUUUCUUUCUUUCUUUCUUUCUUUCUUUCUUUCUUUCUUUCUUUCUUUCUUUCUUUCUUUCUUUCUUUCUUUCUUUCUUUCUUUCUUUCUUUCUUUCUUUCUUUCUUUCUUUCUUUCUUUCUUUCUUUCUUUCUUUCUUUCUUUCUUUCUUCUUAAAAGCAGUUUCCAUGGAAAAUGUCUGUUUCCCCUAGGUAUACUGAGCUGCAAUGGUGAACAAGAGCAAUUUUGCUGCCACUCAAGUAAAUUCUGAUCCAAUUUCUUUGGUCGACUUCACUUCAACUGUCAUACCCACUGACUGCUGUUAGCAUUGGGGCCAGGAAAAUCUGGCCAUCUUCUCUGGGUGGGUAUAUUUUCCUACAUUAAAGGUUGUUAUGACAAAAUAUAUGCAUACUUUGAAUGUUAAUUAGACAUUUAUGAAUAUGGGCAGAAAUGUUGUGAUUUAUACUCAUUUGAGAAGACUAUUGCUUGGCUUUAUUGAUUUCUCAUAUGAUCACACUAAUUGCAAAAUGAGUUAAAAAAAGAAGCAGAAAUUAAAAAUGCAGAAAUCACAUCUGACAUUCUAGAAACAUAAGUAGAUUUUAAAGUUUCAUUAGAAUACAGAAAAUUUUACGGAAGUGCAAAGAUUUUGAAGACUUGAAUCAAAAAUGGAAUCCCCAAAGUAAACAACUCUUCUAAGAUUAUGGGAUUAGUGUGAAAUAAAUUAGAUGAUGUGUUCA
ensembl:lncRNA